rnacentral:tRNA from 1 species
GGUGGCUCAGUGGUAGAGCGCUUGCCUUGCAAGCAUGAGGCCCUGGGUUCCAUUCUUCAGCACCA